CAGUCGCCGCGGGAAAACGUAGGUGGCAAGCGUUGUCCGGAAUUAUUGGGCGUAAAGCGCGUCUAGGUGGUUAUGUAAGUCUGAUGUGAAAAUGCAGGGCUCAACUCUGUAUUGUGUUGGAAACUGUGUAACUAGAGUACUGGAGAGGUAAGCGGAACUACAAGUGUAGAGGUGAAAUGCGUAGAGAUCUGGAGGAAUACCGGUGGCGAAGGCGGCCCCCUGGACAAAGACUGACGCUCAGGUGUGAAAGCGUGGGGAGCAAACAGGAUUAGAUACCCCCGUAGUCCCUGUCUCUUAUACA
rnacentral:rRNA from 1 species